CGGCAACAGCUCAAAUUUGAAAUCUGGCGCAAGCCCGAGUUGUAAUUUGCAGAGGAUGCUUUGGGUACGGUGCCUUCCGAGUUCCCUGGAACGGGACGCCAUAGAGGGUGAGAGCCCCGUACGGUUGGAUGCCUAGCCUCUGUGAAACUCCUUCGAC
rnacentral:rRNA from 1 species